rnacentral:rRNA from 1 species
AGUGGCGAACGGGUGAGUAAUGUAUCGGAACGUGCCCAGUCGUGGGGGAUAACUGCUCGAAAGAGCAGCUAAUACCGCAUACGACCUGAGGGUGAAAGCGGGGGAUCGCAAGACCUCGCGCGAUUGGAGCGGCCGAUAUCAGAUUAGGUAGUUGGUGAGGUAAAGGCUCACCAAGCCGACGAUCUGUAGCUGGUCUGAGAGGACGACCAGCCACACUGGGACUGAGACACGGCCCAGACUCCUACGGGAGGCAGCAGUGGGGAAUUUUGGACAAUGGGCGCAAGCCUGAUCCAGCCAUGCCGCGUGCAGGAAGAAGGCCUUCGGGUUGUAAACCGCUUUUGUCAGGGAAGAAAAGGUUCUGGCUAAUACCUGGGACUCAUGACGGUACCUGAAGAAUAAGCACCGGCUAACUACGUGCCAGCAGCCGCGGUAAUACGUAGGGUGCAAGCGUUAAUCGGAAUUACUGGGCGUAAAGCGUGCGCAGGCGGUUAUGCAAGACAGAGGUGAAAUCCCCGGGCUCAACCUGGGAACUGCCUUUGUGACUGCAUGGCUAGAGUACGGUAGAGGGGGAUGGAAUUCCGCGUGUAGCAGUGAAAUGCGUAGAUAUGCGGAGGAACACCGAUGGCGAAGGCAAUCCCCUGGACCUGUACUGACGCUCAUGCACGAAAGCGUGGGGAGCA